rnacentral:RNase_P_RNA from 1 species
GGAGAGGGAUGGGUGGUCGCGGGCCUGAUUGGCUCGAGGAAAGUCCGGACUCCACAGGGCAGGGUGCUGGGUAAUACCCAGGAGGAGCGAUCCUCGGAAAGGGCCACAGAAACUUCAAACCGCCCGAAGAGGGCAAGGGUGAAAAGGUGAGGUAAGAGCUCACCAGCAUCGGGGUGACCCGAUGGCU